GGAAGAAAGAAACACUUAUGUCAGUGCAUCAUGUUGCCAGAUGUUACAGUAGGCUACAGUGUAUGUGUAGCUUCCUGUGGUUUAUCUCCUCUGUACAGAGAGAGAGAUUAGAUAAAUCUGCAAAAAAAUCAUAUAUUAACGCAAUUAUGUGCAAUUACUUUGCAGUAAGGUUUGCUGUAAAAUGGAUAAAACAGUAACGUGCUGCGUGAAUGAAGUGGAAAACAGUUGAUGGGAGGAUAUGCAGGUUGUGCCUGAGGUCACAGAGUGCAGAAAGUGAAGGCCGUAGAGUACAGCUGAGAGCCAAGCGCCUCCUUAUUGGUCAGCCCGGACAGAAAAGGGGCGUGUCAAAGCGCGUGAGUCCGCCUAGAAAAAGUGAGGACAGAGACAGUGUCCAGAGCGGGAGGGUGAUGUCUGUCUUAUCCUCAGCUACGGCUCGGACGGAGCGAGAUGAGCCAUGAAUCCACCUCACUUUGAGUUGCCAUCUUUUCCAGCGCUCUGCAUACUAACAGCGUUACGUAAUUAUACAGUUAUACGAAUGACCGGGUUACGCCAAAAAACCACACACUACCGCACUAAAUACCGUACGAGGCGUAGUUUUGUGCGUACUGUUUCGACGGGUAGUGAUUCAACGCUCGCUUAAAGUUCGAGCCCGGUCAAAAACAAACAAACAAACAGCCGUUUGAAACGGGAAGCGCGUCGGUACUGAAAGUUGGAGGCAGGUCGAAAACUGUGUACAAGACUGAAGAACAUGGCGAGGGUCGGUUUAGAGAACGGCGUCUUAAUUACCUGCUCGAAAAGAGCGCAUAAAACUCCGAGGCGAGCCGGUAAACACCGCGACGUGAACAGGAACGAGGCAGCGAGCGGAAAAAGCCACUGACGACCGAGUUCAAGUCUUCAGAGAAAUUCGCUGAAAGCAAGGCUGACAACGAUGUGAAAACUCCGGAAUUUGAGGUUUCUUCUGUAAGCGAAGGAUUGAUGACAAAGAAAAUACUCAUGAAACAUGAGAAACCUCAGACUGCCCAUGAGUCUCAGAUUACUAUGUUGAAAUGCACACAUCACCAUUGUGAUGGGUGUCCUGCAUGUACAGAGGACAAAAUGGAGGCUGGAGGUGGCUGGAUGUUACGCAAUGACCUCACAGAAGUCGCAUUCACAGCAUCAAACUGAGUCCAAAAAAAAACACGUAGGGAGUCUGAAAAUGCAAGCUAAGCUCCUUGAACAUAGGGGACAUAACAUUGCCAUUUAGAGGGUAAACAAGAUGUGUGCCUUAUGGUUGGUACUCACAAAGGUGUUUGUUGUGAGAUGGUGACGAUUCUGACCUUAGGACAUCUUGCGUGUGAAGCUUCUGCAGAUUUGACCUUUCUGGUAGUGUCAUAGCAAAACAAACGGCUUCCACUGACUCCCUUCUUUUAUGUUUUCAAUGUAAAUACAGCAUUUCUGCUCCCCAUGGUAAGCAGCCCUCACGAGUUCUGAUGGAAAAACAGCAUCAGAUAUGCAGGUGCACUAAAUGCUUCCACAAGGACAGUCUCUGACACAAGCACUGCCUACCUUCACACAAGCUGACCUUUUCCCCUGUAGACAUUUAUAACUAUUAAUCGUUGUAUGUGUUGCUCUGGGUUAAAAGUUACAUCAAAGGGUGACCGGUAAAGAUGUGUCAACUGUAAGGCAACCAGAAGGAUCAAACCAUGCCUGGCUGGCAGUAUGGGCUACUGUAAACAUCCUUGACUGGAAGCUGGUGCUUAAGAUGGAGCUUUCAGUCGGAUGUUUGCAGCAGCCAACUGCCAUUACCUCUUCUCAUAAUGCUUGAUAAAGUAUGGAAUGAGUGACAUACAGAAAGUACUUUCUCACUGUCUUCAGGUGAUGUAAAGGUGCAUUCAUUUAUGCUCAUUAAGAUGGAGACAUACUUAUGCCAGUGUCUAAUAUUAAUCCAACAAAACUGAUGUCGGAGCAUGUGUUCUUGUGUCUGAGAAUUUUAUGUUGUAUGUAAAAGAGGAGGGAUUUUGUUAGCUUAAGCUCUUAAGCUAGUCAAAUAAAUAUUGAAUUUGUAUUCUCAUUAUUAACAGAAACACAUGUCAAAUGGUGAACAAGAUUUAGAGCUGUUACUUUGGCAGCACAAGUGGAUCUUCAGAUUGGGAGCUAUGUGAAUGGUAUGGCCUCAGGCAGGUUGAAAUGGAAAGAAUAGUGCCAGUGAGCGAUAGCAGUUGAUCCUGGAUAUGGCUGGAUUGCUGACUCCAGAGGCUGAACGUCAACCUGAGGGGCUGGGGCACACCAUUUGUGUCACAUUAGCACCUCAAGGCCUGUAAAACACAUUCCGGCCUGGCACCUGUGGAGAGCUAAAACCCAGAUUAGUGCCGUUGCUUCUGUGCUUACUCUCCAGUUCUCACUGUUUCAAAGGCCUGUAACAUGGAGUUGAGUAUCACAAUCUCUUUUUCCCACCUUCUGCAUGAAGUCUCCCACGGGAAGAGCAAUGACGCUCACGGAAACGUGAUCUUGUAGCACUUGUAGCUCUGCCUGGCAAUGGGAAAUUGUUUGUAGAGAAACGAGUUACACUGGGGUAAUGUUUCAACUCCUUUUCAUACAGUUUUGUCAAUAAUGUGCCCUUAUUACUGGUUCGGCAUGAAUCUAAUGUAUAACUUACAGUUGUUGGUUACUGAUAACUUGGUAAAGCUGGUAGAUUUUACUGAAUUUAGGGUCUACGUGACUCUUGAUUGCAGUAGAUAGUCACUUCUUGUUUAGUACUCCAUUCCAGUUUCUCCCAUUUCCUAGCAUAGUUGCAUAUAAUGUUGUAUUUGAAGUCAAAAUACUGUGCUUUUUUUUCUUUCCUCUUUAAACCAGCCUUGUUUACUAUACAUGCUACAAUUAAAUGAACAAAAUGAUUAUUUAUUUUUUUUAAUGAGUGUCCAGUUUCAGCACUCUGGACAGCUCUUUUAGGGUAUGACAGUGGAGUCACCCAGUCCCAGGGGAGAGAGCGAGUCCUCAGGGAGGUUGGCUGACUGAUGGGCAGUACCCCCCAUUCAUUCUCUCCUCAAGAACUCCUCAGCCUUUUUACUGAUUUGUGACUCUCACGUAUUCCACCAACUGAACUCAGUUUUUUAACUGCAAGUGACACAAACAUUUACAAAGUGAUAAGAAGGAAAGGUACUAAUGAGAGAACCGAUACAAUAUUUGUACAGUUCAGCAAACUCGCUUAAAAGCAGACUAAUGAUAAGCAUAGCUGUAUGAUUGUAAUCUGCCAUAAUGUAAUGUACCAGCAGUUCCUGUUUGCCCUGGGAAGGGUGUUAAGAAGUUCAGGGGAGCAUUUGAAAGGAACUAAUUGUCAGUAAAAGCUGGAUAAAUGGGAGCUGAAGAACAUUGGUGGAGAUUGUGUAUUUCCCAUAUUAAAGUCAGCAUACUGUUGUGGGCUUACCAGAGUUUCGUUUCUCCACACAUUGUGCCGAUCAUAAAAGAAGAGCUGGAACACUUAAGAACUAUAAAAGCAACUACCAUAUUGCUGUUACCGUUUUUUCCAUUGCUCUUGAGCUCUGGUUCUGUCUACAUCCUUUUCCCUUAAUCAAUGCUGCUUCCUUAUGUUUUACAGAUUCACUCCAACCUCUUUGUAUCUUUCCUCAUGUACAGUUUACCAUAUACUGCCUCUCUCUAUAUCACCUUCCUUUCCUGUCCAUGCCCAUAGCCUGUUCCACGCCUGACCUUUCCCACAACAAUCAUUGCAUGCAUUAAGCGAGGAGCCCGAAAGCAAGAGAAAGCGCUUGUCCAGUAAGAGGAAAUAGGCCUCAAGAAUGCGAAAAGCUCCAAUUCAGGCGGGUUCACAGGGUCUGGGAGUGGCCACAUCCUCAAGAGAGGGGGGAUCUUGGACUGGAGCCAUGAGAGCUGUGCUGGCCAGGCAGAUGACGUAGGUCUGUGUGAACACCCAAAGCGCCCCCCCCUUUCUAUUUCUAUAGUGGUAUUGCCCUUUAUGUACCCCCACCCACCCCACCAAUAAAAAAUAUAUGCAGCUUGUGUCUCCCUCAGGCCCCUAAGAACAGAGCUCAGGUGGCUAGUCUGCUGAUGAAUGUAGCUCUAUUAAUAGAAAGUUCUGCUUAUCUCAGAGUUGAAUGACAAACAUUGAGCACAUUUCUCACAGGUCUGAAAAAGAUAUGCCCUCACCCACUUUAGUUUCACUCCUUAAUUGAUGCCGUGAAGCAUCAAAAGCUUAAUACAGUUAUUUCUGAGCCGAGCAUGACCAUGGGGCGGUCGGGUAAAGUCGGUUAGUUUUUAAACACCAGGCCAGGCCGUCUCAGCUUAACCCAGGAGCCUUGUGCCGUGUGAGCUUCAGGGAAUGUAAACAUCCUACACUCUCAGCUGGAGCCAAGACAAGGCCGGGAGUGGGGUGUUUGCGCUCUCUGGCUUACGGAUGCCGUGGCAGCACAGAGGAAAUGGAAACAGCACCACAAAGGAAACCGGCUUGUCUGCCAUCAUAUCAGUUGAGCUCAUUGGACACAUCCGGAGGCUUUCAACGUCUGGUACGUCAACGCAGUGCUAUAAUCUUGAUGUUUCUCCAUUUUUGUGUGGCUUCAUCGCUUGUGAAUUGUGAAACAUCUUCAAGAUUGUAACAUUGCAUUGAGAUACUUCUACUAGACAUUCAAAAUAGCCUUGAUGACUGAAAACCUUCAUAGACAACAAGAGGCGUCUGUUCUCUCUGUGUGUCUAGAGGCCAGUGUGGGUGGGUGUGGUUUGUAGAACUCUGAGGAAGUAGAGCUCCAUUGUGAGCAUUGCUGUUGGGUCAGGAGGUGAGGCUGAAGGCUCUUUUUGAAGCACUCUAACCCAGCAGGGUGGGACAACUCCAAAUGUUUCCAAGCACUCCUGUCCAGACUAAGCUGUUGUCACGGCGACAGAGUGGCCCAAGAGGAAAUGGCUAUUUAUACCCACCAAGUGCAGAAAGAGAGGCACCCUUCCAAUGGGCGGCAUUUGACUCACAUCCUCCAGCAAUCUGAGUUUGGGCCUUUGCAUGUACCCACGUUCCCCUGUCAUCCAGCGUGUAUAUAUUUAAAAAAAAAAAAAAAAAAAAAAAAAGAGAGAGAGAUACUUCUGCUACCAUCUUGCAGUGAUUUAAACCAUGCUAUGGUUGUUCUUUCCUGGCCCCACACAUGGACACAAACACUUAAGCAACUUCUAAUCUCUGAGAAAUUACUGGGCUCACUCUCCAAAUGCAGUGUCUUGUUGUAUGUGCUGUCUGGUUGGUUUGUUUCCGCUCAGCCUUCUGUCCCACAGUGACACUCAGGAUGCAUGCCUGCUGGUUCGUGUUCCCACCCUCUCCCACUGCAAUUAUUUCAGUCUACUUUUAUUCUGUGACCUCAUUACAGCAGCUGCUCCUUCUUAAUCCACAAGGUGGCAGACUGUCACUAAAGAUGGCCUGGGAAAUGCAUUUAUAGAACAGGUUGCGCAAACACUUUUAACAGAAAAUUUGUUUGAUAUGGGUGGCUUUAAAGUUCAGCCAAAAACUGAACUCCAAAAGCAAACAAGCUACAAGAAAUCAGCAUUUAUUUUACUGUUUGAUUGGAGUUGCAUUACUAUGUCAAGUAUAAAGAGGAAAAGAUGAAGUAGGUCUUACUGUUGUGACACUCGAGUCAGGAUUGCUGUGUGUUUCUCACUGUUAUAUCUGUCCUCUGCAGAUGAGCAGCAUUUUGGGGAAUUGGAGUGAUGAAGUGAUGUUUACAUGGAGAGAAAUGAAGAAAACCAUUACGGCAAGAGUAAAUUCAUGUAAGAUACACUGAGUGUCCCUGAAGCUAAGUGGCAUCACUGUUGUGCAUUUGAAUCCUAAGAAUUUUUUUAUUAUUGUUUUUAAUUCCGACAUUCCCUGACCCUAUAUUUAGUGAACCAUAAUAGUAGUUUGUAAAUUCCUGUAAUGCCAAUGAAGAUCCUGGGCAGUGCAUUUGACACACAUUGUACUGCUGAAUAACUGGUAAGCAAUUUGGAUGUAAAAACAAGAACCACAUAAUGAAAUUGUAAUGCUAAUUCAAAAAGGUCAUUUUAAAAUCUUUGCAGCAAUUGUUUACUGGUUAACAGUUCACUGUUUUCCUGUGGGGGAGUUUGCAAUAACCUGAAACAGCACCUUGAUCACUUAUGCAAGGUUAUUGUUGAAUAUACAGUGUACCGUUAUAGUACUGUAUUUAAUUUAAAUGUUAUGUGCUGUAAUGUAUAUCUUGUUUAAUAAAUCAUUUUUUUUAAAAAUCAACCAUACUGCUUGUUGUGUGGUAACUCUACAGGUCCUACUAACAGGUUUUACUAAUCACGUGUUGAUUUGAUAAUAUCUUGAUUUGGAAAGUCCGCUGAAGUUCCGAUACUGUAACAUCCGUGUUUAGUUUCGGGAAUGUCCAAACUUUCAACCACAUGAGGAACUGAAACCAUGCUCUAUUUUUGCAGAACAUUUUUCAGUUGUUUUGAGCUGCUGCUGUGGCACUAAUAAUAAUAUGCACGUUCACAUGUGUAAUACUAAAAUAGGCUAAGAUACCACAGGUUACUCACAGGUCAUGAGGCUAAAACAUAGCUGAACCUCUGGUCUUCUGCUCUAAUUCAUGCUUAUACUCAUUUACACAGGCUAUAAAUAGUGAUGUCAACAUCAAGAUAUGUUAGUCUUGUUAACAGCAGAAAUUAUAAAGAGCUUUUAGCGUGAUUAGGCAAGAACAUACAAGCAUUUCAUUUCAUCUGUCUCAGAAACCGCUGCAGAUAUCUUUAAAUUCACAGCAGACAGACAUCUGCAUAUUGUACACAAAUAACUUUGCAAUGAAGGAUGUUAAUCACAGCUUCAGGUCCCUGGUUCAAUCCUGAGUUUCACAUGGUCUCCCUGUGAAUGCAUUGGUUUCCUCUGGGUUUUCCAUCUCUUCUUUUUGUGUGUGCAUGUGCAUGGUCCCCUGUGAUGGACAUUCUAGGUGUAUUCCUGCUUCAUGCCCAGUGCUACUGAGAGAGGCCUCUUGGUUGGCAAGUUCUGAACUUCCCUUUGUGUAUGUACAUACAGUACAUGAACACUUUGCCCUUUAGGAAAAGGAAAUUCAUUGGGGUUUCUUAUGUCUCACUAUUCUAAUGUUAUGAGUAUUUCCGUGUGAAUUGCCACAGUCCUUUUGCAGCUGGUAUUAAUCCUCUAAAGGUAAGAUUAAGAACAUUGUUACAUUGCACAAUGCUGAAUGUUUCAUAUCUGAU
ensembl:lncRNA